AAAGAAAAAAAAAAAAAAAGAAAAAAAGAGGAAUUAGGGAAGAUACUAUAAAUAUCUGGUGCACUGGUUGGUUGGAGUAGCUUUUCUUCAUUUCCGCAAUUCUCAGACGAAUCCCUAAUUUCGUCACAGGUAGUAACAAUGAUGAUUGAGAGAAAAUCAGAAGAGGAUAAAAUUAGUGCAUUACCAGAUGAUGUUCUGUGUCUCAUCCUUUCUUUCCUUACGCUCAAGGAAGCCAUAGCUACAUCAUUGUUAUCUACAAGGUGGAGAUUUGUGUGGACCAUGCUUCCAUCUCUUCACAUUGGGUGCGCCAAACCAAUCAUGAAACACUACAAGAGUGUCAACGUGUUUUUAGCUCUACGUAGAACAGAAAAGAUCACAAGCUUUCAACUCAAAUGCAAUAGCGAUCAUGAUUGUUGCUCAAAUUAUGUGGAAGAAUGGAUCUCUAAAGUGGUAGCAAGAAAAGUUGAACAAGUGCAUAUCUCCUUAUGCAGACGGAGCCAGGAUUUCAAUACUAGGGGACCGAGAAUAAAUUCCAAAGUGAUACCACAUAGCAGGCCGUACCAGAAGUCCAAAAGUUGAAUAAAAAAAUAAAUUUGGGUUAUUCAUUUAAUUAUACAUAUGAGUUUAUAUUAAAAAUAGGGGGUGCCAUAUAGUAAUAUAUAUGUAUAUAAAAAAAAAUUAAAAUUGUUGGGGGGGCCGUGGCACCCGUAGGUCCCCCCUUGGCUCCGUCCUUGUGCACGUCCGAUGAUAGGUUCCUCAACUGGGCUCCCUUGUUUCAUUGCACCACAAUUGCCACCUUGAAACUGGAACGGUUUUACCUGAGGUAUUAUCUCAAAGAGUUCACCAUUGUGCGUAACUCUCGAUAUACUCGAUGCAUUGAUCGCAACCAUUUAUAUGACAUUGUCAUGCAAUGUGAUUAUGAUUUUAUCUCAAACUAUAUGAAGAUUCGUGGUUGGCGAAAUAUCAAGAAAACCAAGGUUUAUAUAACAAUGUAUCAUGAUAUGAAGGAGACUGUUUCUGAGAUUCUCCAAAGAGUAUGUAGUGUUGAGUUUCUCUCUUUGAAAUAUUGUAGGGAUGACAUUAACCCUUUUCCUCUUGAUCUUCCAUUGUUUAAGAAUUUAGUUGAGCUACGACUUUUUCUUAAAAAGGAUGACUCUUUGAUAAAGGAACUUCCUGCGAAGUGUCCUAACCUUCAAGUUCUUGAAGUUACUAACUUGGAUGAUCGUGAGAGAUGUCGAUAUAACUUCAUUGGAGGAGCAAGGGUGCACGACCUAUCGAUUGUUCCUAUUUGACCUAAUAAGCUCUUAUUGUGAGAUAAUUGAUAGAGACUUAGUUAUUGCUUUCUAAGAGCAAAAUUUUUAGGUGUUGUUUGAGAAGUUCUUAUUACUUUUCCACUCACUUUUCUGAUUCAGCUAGUUUUAUUGUUAGACUCAAGUGUAGGUAAUGGCUUUAACUUUUAUUCAAUAAAUUCCAUUGUAUUUUUUU